CAGCCGCCGCGGUAAUACGAAGGGUGCAAGCGUUACUCGGAAUUACUGGGCGUAAAGCGUGCGUAGGUGGUGGUUUAAGUCCGUUGUGAAAGCCCUGGGCUCAACCUGGGAAUUGCAGUGGAUACUGGAUCACUAGAGUGUGGUAGAGGAUAGUGGAAUUUCCGGUGUAGCAGUGAAAUGCGUAGAGAUCGGAAGGAACAUCUGUGGCGAAGGCGACUAUCUGGGCCAACACUGACACUGAGGCACGAAAGCGUGGGGAGCAAACAGGAUUAGAUACCCCUGUAGUCCCUGUCUCUUUACA
rnacentral:rRNA from 1 species